GGAUGCGCUUGUUACAGGGCUUUCUCGGCUGUUGCUGCAGCCAUUGAUUUCACUACCAUUUUCACCUACCAAAUCGCAAGCGGCCAUGAACAACAAGCAGCUGCGAGCGAGGGAGCAAGAAUAGGGGGCAUCCAAACAGAAAACGGUACGAGAACUGGGACAGCGGCUUUGGGAUUCCUCUCACUUGCUCAACGCUCAAAUCUGAGCGCGACCUUCUAUGCUAUUUCCCUUCUUUUCUUUUAUGUAUUAUAUUUAUCCUUUUCUUCUA